CACAGCCGGAGCGGCCAAGCUGGCAUCCAGUCAACCUGGGUGUCCAAAGAAAUCUGCUAGGUCCUAGAGUCCUGCAGCUGUGAGAGGCUCCUAGGGUGGACGUGCUGUCACAGCUCCUAGCAAUGUAGCACUGAAGGAGGGUGGCAAUGGACAGCAGUGGGCCCAACCCUUCCUGAUAGGACCUACAGCAGUUGUUAAGAACUGCAGCUUCUUGAACAAGAGAGAAGACCCCAGACCCUGGCAUCCGACCGACUAUGCCCGACUGCGCCCCUUUCCAGGUUAUGUGUGGCAUUAUAUCCCCUCCAGGAGCCACAGCCUCACUGUAGCCCCCUCCUCUUCCUUCCCUGGUUAAGGGGGGUCUUUUGCAGAGCCUCUUAGCUUCCUCCAUAGAGAAGGGUAAUGGGGUGGGUGAGGGUGGGAGUGGAGGGUCCUCUGCUCAGGGCAGAAGGCUAAGAAGUGCUGCUCAGGGGUGUGCCUGACCAUCCUGGCCCCUGCCUGACACCGGGCAUAGUGCUCAGAUGAGGACACCAGGACAGGCUGGGGACACAUCACAUAGAAGUCCCAUGACGCUGCUUGGAACCAUGGUAGUGUCUGGGUGGGCUCCCUCACUGCCAGGGGAUGUUGAGCAGUCAGCAGGACCACAGGGAGCAGGCACCCCACAGGAGGGAGGACAUGGCCUCUGGGCCCCUCCUCUCAGCACAGCCUCUCUGUUGAUAAAUGGAAGCUAUCCCAGCUGCACCCACCUUAGCCCACGGCCUUGCUCAUUCCUCAGACCUGCUGACAAAAAGCGUCAGGGAACCAAAAGGUCAGCCACCUGGCCCAAGAGGGCACUUGCAGCCUUCUCCCUGGGGGUGCGGCUGGAUUUGGGUUAGCAAUCUGGGCAGGGGCCUGGUCCUUCCUUCCCCUAUCCCUUCUUCCCUCCCUCCCUCUAGCUGUAACCUCCAGAAAGUAGCCGGAAAGCCAACUGUUUGUGCCAAACUUGCUGGCUAGAAGCCAGGCCCAGUUGGAUGGAGUGGCCCAGGCUGGUGACAUCCCUAAGGAAUGCCCACAGGGGGCAAGUGAGACCACCAUGGGAGUGGAGGAAGCAGCGGUGGAGCCCAGACAAGGCUGGCCCCAUCCUGCAGAAACUGAAGGGCAAGCCCACGUUUCCUGCUGACCCGAUGGCACAGCUGACGGAACCACGACCACACUCUGCUGCCCCGCCUGAAGGUGACUCAUCUGCCUGCUUUCCAGCUGCUGCACAGACCCCAGCCCUGAUGCCUGACACCGAGCCAGAGGCCAUGCUUGCAAGGAGCCAGGUAGGGACAGCCCCAGUGGAGUCCACUGUUGGGGAAAUCUGAGGAAUGAUUGAGGCAAUGAGUGGGAGUCAAUUUCCAGUCCAGCUGGUCAGCUCAGAGCCUGUUUCCUCACACUGACAUUGGUUAGGCGGCGGCAGAGGUGCCUGGCUGGGGGCGAAGCAGUGGGUGGAGGCCUGGUUGGGGGACUAGGGUGCUCCAUGCUGGGCUCUCCCAGAUCUGUUUUCCCCUCUGGCGGAUGUGAUGGGGACCCAAUGAAUCUUUCGUUUAAAUACAGAUCUCAGGAAAUAAGCUGGAUUUGAAGUGCUUGCCUCCCUAUACCUUUUAUACCACCUUAAAUUUUAUAAAUUGAUGGAAUUUGUCUUGUCCCUUAAGACUUUAAGUCAUCUGGUCCACAUACCAGUUCUGAGAUGAAGCAGGGAGAUUUAGAGACCCAGAAACAUGGGUCCAGGGAGUCCACACUCUGGACCGUUACACUGCUGACUGCGUAAUCGGGGAAGACGAAGUGUGGAGGGAGGGCAGUGGGGCCACCUCAUCUGGCAUGGACCUGGCUUCGGGACAGCUACCUUCCCAAAGGUACAGCUAGGGGCUCCAUCCAGGAUAAGGGUGAUUGCUUGAUUCUGAAUCUCCUGGGAGCCCGCCAGCCAUCAGGACCUCUGGCACUUCCAGCCCUCAACUUACCUGGCUCACAUUAGUCUGGCCUAAUUCAGCUGACAGUGAAGAGAGGCACUAUUAAUAUGCAGGUUCAACAGGAACAAAUUGACACCGUCCUGACCAAAAUGAUACAUGUUGCUUUAAGGAUAGGGGUAUGCCUGUCUCAUUACCGAAUGCCCUCCCCCAUCCCCAGCUGUCAGAAGGCAAGGUUUUCUGGACACUUCCCCACAAAUUUUGUUUGUGAAAGACACAGAUAUCAUCAGACACAGAUGUCAUCAUUAAAUAAAGACCACCACCAAGAUGAGUGUCUCUUCAAAAACUUUAUUUUUGUCUCAUCCAUCAAGGGCACAGUAUACCUUCAUCACCUCCAGCUUUUGUUUUCCUCCUUACAAACUGUCCCAUCACCUACACCAAGGAAUAUCCUGUGUAGGCAGCUUCUUAGAACAAAAUAUGUCUUCCGGGUUAAGUGUGCUCAAGUAUGAAAUGCAAGUUGCACUAUCUAAGCAGCCAAUUCCAAGCUGCCCCCAAAAUUCAAGAACUUUCUACAUCAGGACACAGACGAGAAGGUUCAGGUGUCACCCACCUGGGUUACCACAAAUAGUCACUCAACAGUUAACUCAAGCUGACUCGAAACCAUAGCCGUUUCUACUUGUGUUCACAGUGCCAUCCUAGAGCACAGGACACUCCAAUGCCUAGGAUUUCAGCUUCCUUCACAGUAAGGAAGCUGUCAGAGUUGGUUAAUUGUUCCAGAGCUGGUUAUGAUGGACCUUUUAGAAACACCCCUAAGGCUCCUAAGUUACCAAGAUUCCCAAGCCUAUUCUAGCUUGCCUCUCUGCAAGACCUUUAUAUUUUUAACUAAUCCUAUUAAAAACACACACACAAAAACAUUAGGGCGUGUCUUUCUACACCUAGCCUGGUGAUGUACAGGAUGCUUUGUCUGACUGUGGCUCUUGUGCCCUGUCCUGCUGGCAUUCAUAUAUUAUGCUUUACAGCUGGUCAUCAUUGGUCAAGAAAACGUUUUCUUACUGAAAAGGUGGCUUAGACCAAUGAGUUCCUUGCCUCUGGGCUUGUUAAAACAACUUGCUGUAUUGAGAUCUAGAACAUUUCAUGUUCAUGGAACACACCCCAAAUUUGAGCCCUAGAAAUUUACUUUUCUUGGCCUAUGUUGUACUUGAAACAAAUUUUUACUCCUUGACAAUAUGGGAGAGAGGGAAGCAUAUAAAUACCAAUCAUGGCAUUUUUAGGAGAUGGCCUUCUAACAUGCUUUCUGUAACUAUUUUUGUAAAUAAAAGGUUCAUCUAACCAAGCAAAACCUAAA